CAACCAAAGCUGGCGACCGGCGCACGGGUGAGUAACACGUAUCCAACCUGCCUCAUACUCGGGGAUAGCCUUUCGAAAGAAAGAUUAAUAUCCGAUAGCAUAUAUUUCCCGCAUGGGUUUUAUAUUAAAGAAAUUCGGUAUGAGAUGGGGAUGCGUUCCAUUAGUUUGUUGGGGGGUAACGGCCCACCAAGACUACGAUGGAUAGGGGUUCCGAGAGGAAGGUCCCCCACAUUGGAACUGAGACACGGUCCAA
rnacentral:rRNA from 1 species